rnacentral:piRNA from 1 species
UGAAGCUCUAGUGCGGACUCAAGCGU